AAAGCAAAAAAACUCACCCCCACUAUGGAGUUUCGUGACAACCACCUCCACGUCUGCUAAGGAGUGCAUGCUGAUGAGGUCUGCACCGAAGGCUUUGCAUUUCAAACGUGCUGCAUCCCAGGAACCACUUUCAUUCCCCAGCAGAUAGCAAAACCCAUUAUUUGGCAGCCAGCCCACGUGGCAGUGGGUAUCUGACCCUCAAAUGGUUCUUCCUUGAGUCACAAGCUUCUGGAAAACGGGGAGAUGUGAUGUCCGCUAUCAGAGUGACAUGAAUUUUACGCUGUGCUUCCUAUGUAUCUGGCAUUAUAAGAAGUCCUGAGGAGAUUCAGGCACGAACUGUCCCUAUUCUGAGACACAUAAGGUCGGAGAUUUGGAAGGUCACCUCCACCCACGUCUCUGAGAGUAGGCAGACUCAAGCCUUCUUCUCUAAUGUGACCGGCUUGAAGCCAAACGUGUAAAGCAGGCCUUUGGGGUCUUGCAAAGGAGUUUCGUUAAGAAAGAAGGAGGGAAGCUCCCAGGACCCAGACAUAAGCGUAUCUUCAGUGGUGGAUGUUUAUGCUGGGUGUUGGCAAAUGAAAAGAGUCAGCGUAGUGAUUGGGAUGGGGGCGUGGGAGAACAGCUGCCCAGGUAACACUUAGACUGUCUUGCAGAUGAUUGCAAGCAGAGAGCCUUGGACUGAAGGAACAGUGAGUGAUGACAAGCCUGAUAAUUUAUGCCUAAAUUGAGCCACAGAAGAACUCUUCAGCUGCACCAGAAAGGCUGUAAUCGCCCCAACCUACAACAGCCCUAACCUGGAACUGUCCUGGCCUUGGGACUGUCCUUGGGACUGUCCUGGCCUUGGGACUGUCCUAGCUUUGGGACUGUCCCAGCCUUGGGGUGCAGGUCAAGCAGCUCAAGGUGGAAAAAUUCUCAGGGUGAAGGCAAAUUAGGAAGUGUUCCUGCCUGGGGCAUGUGGGGUUCUCUUUGGAGUUUUAGGGGGACCUGGUUGGUUGUAGGUCCUGAGAAGGCCAGUUACAUAGGAAAUAUGAUGAGUCCAAACAAUCCAAAUCUAUCACCGCAUCUAUGUAUUGAAAACAACAAUAAACCUCAAAAGAAGUAACUAAGUAGAUGCAAGACAGGCAGAAAGAAAAAAAAACACUUUAGGAUUUCGAGGGAUUCACUAAAGUGGUCACCUCUUGUUUCUGGAAAAAGAUUCCCAGUGUCAAUCAAUCACUAAUUGCUAAAAUUGAAAGGCUUUUGGGGAAUGAUAUUUUCAUUAUAUACAAAAUAUAUAUCAUAAUAUAUAGUAUAUAACUAAAUACAUAAUAUAUCAUAUAUU
rnacentral:lncRNA from 1 species